rnacentral:rRNA from 1 species
UUAGUCUCAGUUCGGAUUGUAGGCUGAAACUCGCCUACAUGAAGCUGGAGUUGCUAGUAAUCGCGAAUCAGCAUGUCGCGGUGAAUACGUUCCCGGGCCUUGUACACACCGUCCGUCACACCAUGAGAGUUGGCAAUACCCAACGUACGUGAUCUAACCCGCAAGGGAGGAAGCGUCCUAAGGUAGGGUCAGCGAUUGGGGUGAAGUCGUAACAAGGUAAC